AAUCAACGCUGGCGGCGUGCCUAACACAUGCAAGUCGAGCGAGAAAAGGGGAGCAAUCCCCUGAGUACAGCGGCGCACGGGUGAGUAACACGUGGGUAAUCUGCCCUGGAGUGGGGAAUAACACCGGGAAACCGGUGCUAAUACCGCAUACGAUCACAGAGUCUGCGGAUUUUGUGAUGAAAGGAGCAAUUCGCUCUAGGAGGAGCCCGCGGCUGAUUAGCUAGUUGGUGAGGUAACGGCUCACCAAGGCAACGAUCAGUAUCCGGUCUGAGAGGACGGUCGGACACACUGGAACUGAGACACGGUCCAGACUCCUACGGGAGGCAGCAGUGGGGAAUUUUUGGCAAUGGGGGCAACCCUGACCAAGCAACGCCGCGUGGGUGAUGAAGUCUCUUGGGACGUAAAACCCUUUCGACGGGGACGAAACCGCAAGGUUGACGGUACCCGUAGAAGAAGCCCCGGCUAACUCCGUGCCAGCAGCCGCCGCCGUAA
rnacentral:rRNA from 1 species